AUACGGAGGGUGCAAGCGUUAAUCGGAAUUACUGGGCGUAAAGCGCGCGUAGGCGGAUAUUUAAGUCUCAUGUGAAAGCCCUGGGCUCAACCUGGGAACUGCGUGGGAUACUGGGUAUCUAGAAUACAUUAGAGGGUAGUGGAAUUUCAGGUGUAGCGGUGAAAUGCGUAGAGAUCUGAAGGAACAUCAGUGGCGAAGGCGACUACCUGGACUGAUAUUGACGCUGAGGUGCGAAAGCGUGGGGAGCAAACGGAAUUAGAAACCCUAGUAGUCC
rnacentral:rRNA from 1 species